GCUGGCGGCGUGCCUAAUACAUGCAAGUAGAACGCUGAAGGGAGAGCUUGCUCUUCUGGAUGAGUUGCGAACGGGUGAGUAACGCGUAGGUAACCUGCCUGGUAGCGGGGGAUAACUAUUGGAAACGAUAGCUAAUACCGCAUAACAUUGACUAUUGCAUGAUAGUCAAUUGAACAGGCAAAUGCACCACUACCAGAUGGACCUGCGUUGUAUUAGCUAGUUGGUGGGGUAACGGCUCACCAAGGCGACGAUACAUAGCCGACCUGAGAGGGUGAUCGGCCACACUGGGACUGAGACACGGCCCAGACUCUACGGGAGGCAGCAGUAGGGAAUCUUCGGCAAUGGACGGAAGUCUGACCGAGCAACGCCGCGUGAGUGAAGAAGGUUUUCGGAUCGUAAAGCUCUGUUGUAAGAGAAGAACGAGUGUGAGAGUGGAAAGUUCACACU
rnacentral:rRNA from 1 species